rnacentral:rRNA from 1 species
UACAGGGGGGGGCAAGCGUUAUUCGGAAUUAUUGGGCGUAAAGGGCGCGUAGGCGGCUUGGCAAGUGGAUGGUGAAAUCCCUCGGCUUAACCGAGGAACUGCCGUCCAAACUGCUUCGCUUGAGACCGGGAGAGGUGAGUGGAAUUCCCAGUGUAGCGGUGAAAUGCGUAGAUAUUGGGAGGAACACCAGUGGCGAAGGCGGGCUCACUGGACCGGUACUGACGCUGAUGCGCGAAAGCGUGGGGAGCAAACGGG